rnacentral:rRNA from 1 species
CUGAUAGUAGGGACCCCGAAAGGGCGACGAGUCCUGGUUUCCAGGAAGUCAGCAGAGGUGCUGCAUGGCUGUCGUCAGCUCGUGUCGUGAGAUGUUGGGUUAAGUCCCGCAACGAGCCGCAACCCCUGCCUUUAGUUGCCAGCGAGUCAGUGUCGGGCACUCUAAGGGGACCGCCUCGGAUAACGGGGAGGAAGGUGGGGAUGACGUCAAGUCAGCAUGGCCUUUAUGUCCAGGGCCACACACGUGCUACAAUGGGCGGUACAAAGGGACGCAAGAUCGUAAGGUGGAGCUAAAUCCUCAAAACCGUCCUCAGUUCGGAUCGAAGGCUGCAAUUCGCCUUCGUGAAGUCGGAAUCGCUAGUAAUCGCGGAUCAGCUACGCCGCGGUGAAUACGUUCUCGGGCCUU